rnacentral:rRNA from 1 species
GUCUACGGCCAUGCUAUCCUGAACAAGCCUGAUCCCGUCUGAUCUCAGAAGCUAAGCUGGGUUGGGCCUGGUUAGUACUUAGAUGGGAGACCACCUUAGGAAGACCAGGUGUUGUAGGCA